rnacentral:rRNA from 1 species
CGAAAGUUACGCUAAUACCGCAUAUUCUGUGAGCAGGAAAGCAGGGGAUCGCAAGACCCUUGCGCUCUUUGAGCGGCCGAUGUCAGAUUAGCUAGUUGGUGAGGUAACGGCUUACCAAGGUCGACGAUCUGUAGCGGGUCUGAGAGGAUGAUCCGCCACACUGGAACUGAGACACGGUCCAGACUCCUACGGGAGGCAGCAGUGGGGAAUUUUGGACAAUGGGGGCAACCCUGAUCCAGCCAUGCCGCGUGAGUGAAGAAGGCCUUCGGGUUGUAAAGCUCUUUCGGCCGGGAAGAAAUCGCAUGGGUUAAUACCCUGUGUGGAUGACGGUACCGGCAUAAGAAGCACCGGCUAACUACGUG